UCCGGUGAUAAUGAUGAAGAGGAAACACCUGUUCCCAUGCCGAACACAGCAGUUAAGCUCUUUAAUGCAGACGAUAGUUAGUUGGAGACGACUUGUGAAAAUAUGUAGUUGCCGGGU
rnacentral:rRNA from 1 species